rnacentral:tRNA from 1 species
GAGGAUUUAGCUUAAUUAAAGUGUUUGAUUUGCAUUCAAUUGAUGUAGGGUGAAUCCUGCAGUCCUUA